rnacentral:rRNA from 1 species
UACGUAGGGGGCUAGCGUUGUCCGGAAUCAUUGGGCGUAAAGCGCGUGUAGGCGGUCCGGUAAGUCCGCUGUGAAAGUCGAGGGCUCAACCCUCGAAUGCCGGUGGAUACUGUCGGGCUUGAGUACGGGAGAGGCGAGUGGAAUUCCUGGUGUAGCGGUGAAAUGCGUAGAUAUCGAGAGGAACACCAGUGGCGAAGGCGAGUCCCUGGACAGGUCCUGACGCUGAGGCACGAAAGCUAGGGGAGCAAACAGG